rnacentral:rRNA from 1 species
UGGGCUUGACAUCCCACGGACCUGGUGAAAGCCGGGAGUGCCCGCAAGGGAGCGCAGAGACAGGUGGUGCAUGGCUGUCGUCAGCUCGUGUCGUGAGAUGUUGGGUUAAGUCCCGCAACGAGCGCAACCCUCACCCUUGUUGCCAUCAGGUUAUGCUGGGCACUCUAAGGGAACUGCCUCGGUUAACGAGGAGGAAGGUGGGGAUGACGUCAAGUCAUCAUGCCCCUUACGCUCUGGGCUACACACGUGCUACAAUGGCCAAUACAAAGGGCUGCAAACCCGCGAGGGCAAGCCAAUCCCAAAAAAUUGGUCUCAGUUCAGAUUGUAGGCUGCAACCCGCCUGCAUGAAGGAGGAAUCGCUAGUAAUCGUGGAUCAGCAUGCCACGGUGAAUACGUUCCCGGGCCUUGUACACACCGCCCGUCACACCACGAAAGUCUGCUGUACUCGAAGUCGCUGAGAAUCUC